rnacentral:tRNA from 1 species
GGCCCCUUAGCUCAGUUUGGUUAGAGCAUACGACUCAUAAUCGUCAGGUCCACAGUUCAAGUCUGUGAGGGGCCACCA